GGACUACAGGGGUUUCUAAUCCUGUUUGCUCCCCACGCUUUCGCGCAUCAGCGUCAGUAACGGGCCAGUGUGUCGCCUUCGCCACUGGUGUUCUUCCGAAUAUCUACGAAUUUCACCUCUACACUCGGAGUUCCACACACCUCUCCCGUACUCAAGACAGCCAGUAUCGAAGGCAGUUCCAGGGUUGAGCCCUGGGCUUUCACCCCCGACUAAACUGUCCGCCUACGCGCCCUUUACGCCCAGUAAUUCCGAGCAACGCUAGCCCCCUUCGUAUUACCGCGGCUGCUGGCAC
rnacentral:rRNA from 1 species